GAUGAACGCUGGCGGCGUGCCUAACACAUGCAAGUCGAACGAAACUUUUAUGGAAUGCGGCUUCGGCCAAAUGAAGUUUAAGUUUAGUGGCGGACGGGUGAGUAACGCGUGAGUAACCUGCCUUUCACAGGGGGAUAACGUUUGGAAACGAACGCUAAUACCGCAUAACAUAGCGGAUUGCAUGUUCUGUGUAUCAAAGAGCAAUUGUUCGUAGAUGGGCUCGCGUCUGGUUAGGUAGUUGGUGAGGUAACGGCCCACCAAGCCGACGAUCAGUAGCCGAACUGAGAGGUUGAACGGCCACAUUGGAACUGAGAAACGGUCCAGACUCCUACGGGAGGCAGCAGUGGGGAAUAUUGGGCAAUGGGCGAAAGCCUGACCCAGCGACGCCGCGUGAGGGAAGACGGUCUUCGGAUUGUAAACCUCUUUCAGCAGGGAAGAAGCAAGUGACGGUACCUGCAGAAGAAGUCACGGCUAACUACGUG
rnacentral:rRNA from 1 species